rnacentral:rRNA from 1 species
GGAAUAUUGCACAAUGGGCGCAAGCCUGAUGCAGCGACGCCGCGUGAGCGAAGAAGUAUUUCGGUAUGUAAAGCUCUAUCAGCAGGGAAGAAAAUGACGGUACCUGACUAAGAAGCUCCGGCUAAAUACGUGCCAGCAGCCGCGGUAAUACGUAGGGGGCAAGAGUUAUCCGGAUUUACUGGGUGUAAAGGGAGCGUAGACGGCGCGGCAAGUCUGAAGUGAAAGGCAGGGGCUUAACCCCUGAACUGCUUUGGAAACUGCCAUGCUAGAGUGCUGGAGAGGUAAGUGGAAUUCCUAGUGUAGCGGUGAAAUGCGUAGAUAUUAGGAGGAACACCAGUGGCGAAGGCGGCUUACUGGACAGUAACUGACGUUGAGGCUCGAAAGCGUGGGGAGCAAACA